GAUGAACGCUGGCGGCGUGCCUAAUACAUGCAAGUCGAGCGAACGGACGAGAAGCUUGCUUCUCUGAUGUUAGCGGCGGACGGGUGAGUAACACGUGGAUAACCUACCUAUAAGACUUGGAUAACUUCGGGAAACCGGAGCUAAUACCGGAUGAUAUUUUGAACCGCAUGGUUCAAAAGUGAAAGACGGUCUUGCUGUCACUUAUAGAUGGAUCCGCGCUGCAUUAGCUAGUUGGUAAGGUAACGGCUUACCAAGGCAACGAUGCAUAGCCGACCUGAGAGGGUGAUCGGCCACACUAGAACUGAGACACGGUCCAGGCGCCUACGGGAGGCAGCAGUAGGGAAUCUUCCGCAGUGGGCGAGAGCAUGACGGAGCAACGCCGCGUGAGUGAUGAAGGUCUUCGGAUCGUAAAACUCUGUUAUGAGGGAAGAACAUAUGUGUAAGGAACUGUGCACAUCUUGACGGUACCUAAUCAGAAAGCCACGGCUAACUACGUG
rnacentral:rRNA from 1 species